GGCAGAAGCACAGUUGAUGGAUGAGGAAUGGAUGCAUGUACCCUCUUGCCUACCACUCCACAGUGGCAUUCAGGAAGCUGGAGCACAGUGCUGGUAUGUGACGCUGUUUUUAAACAAGGAAGUCUGGAAUUGAGUACGUAAGCAGAGCUGAAUCCACGGCUGUGAAGAGGGGAGCUGGCCACCCUGUGCAGUCUGGAUUCUCCAGGCAGAUGGUGGACAUGAGAAAGUGGCCUGCACCCUGAGUUGCCCUUUGGUGGCCUCAAGGGAGUCCAAGUUCCCAACCUCUGUCCAACAAGCUGACACUCACAGCCUUCUAGAGAUAGUGGGUGAUGUCACAAUUUGCUCCCACAGGGGACUGUGAUGGGGUCAGGGGGAGAAGAAGAAGAAAUAACAUCUAUCAAAUCAGCCCUGCCUCAAAGUUCAGCUCACCCACCAGGAAUAAAACAUUUUCUACUGAAAAUGAAGAUAGGUAAGAGGAAUUAUGAAUUCUAUAUCAUAUGUCUCACUCCAAGGAACAAUUUAUCAGUGCUAUAGGGCUAUCAGCUGCUGACAUGAUAAGGAAUAACACCAAAUGAAUAAUGUUUCCUCCAACACCAACUCCUUUAAUUACAAGCCUCUUCUUUCCAGAAGAGAGACAGAAGAUGCAGAAACCCCAAUUUCAUGCACUUGUGCCUGAAUAAUGUCUCCGUGCUGCUUUUUCCAGAUGGCGACCUUCUCACUGGAGGGACUAAUGAUGUGGGCAUAUUUAGGGAAAAACCAAUAACGGAGUCUUUAACCUUCAACAACAAAAAGCAUGUUGUACAAAAUGUUCCUUGGGAUACAUUAGAAAAUAUCAAUUACAUUGCUCACUGAGGUGUAAUCAGCUGUAAUAAUCAAAAUUAAUUUUUAAAAAUAAUUAAACAGACCCCAGGGCAAAUAGUUGAUGCUCUUAUCCUAUGACAUCACAGUGUACAUAUGUACCUGAGAAGUUGUGCCUUCUGUUAGCGACAAAGGCAUCUCACAGAGUUGAGUGAUGGAUGCAGUGUCUGAAAGCUGGCAAGUUUCAUCUCAGCAAAAGGAGGGGGAGCAUCUAUCCCCUUGCUCUAAGCACUUCCAUCUGCAUUCUUUAAGGGCCUACCGUGUAGCAGGCACUGUGCCCAUCCAAGACUUAGUUACCAGUACAAGAUGUUGCUAAGCAAAGAUGCAGUUAAUUUUAAAAAUUAAAACAUAGUCCUUGUUUCCAAAAUAAUGUGUCUUUUAAAAUCUACAAGAUAAUUUAAAGUGUAGAAAGAAAAAAUCAAAUUGAAGGGAAAGUGGGGUCAGUGGAGAAGAAUGAAGCCAGGGAGAGGGUAUGUAUGUAUGCAUUUGUAUGCGUAGGUGGCUCAAAAAUUUAUCCCACUAGUUGUGUGCAAUUACAAAAGCUUAACCAUGCUUAUCUCUCUCAGUUUCUGAGUGUCCAGAUCAAAGACAGAAACAUAAUCUGUUGCAAAAUUUCUGCUCUUCUUGAGUUGCUGAAAGUAGUUCUUCCUGGUGCUAAAAGG
ensembl:lncRNA novel transcript, antisense to WDFY4